rnacentral:rRNA from 1 species
ACUCAAAUGAAUUGACGGGGACCCGCACAAGCGGUGGAGCAUGUGGUUUAAUUCGAUACGACGCGCAGAACCUUACCAAGGCUUGACAUGUAAUGCAUAAUGCUAAACUAGGGAAACCUAGUUGAAUUACACAGGUGGUGCAUGGUCGUCGUCAGUUCGUGCUGUGAAGUGUAUGCUUAAGUGCUAGAACGAACGCAACCCUCGUAUUUAGUUGCUAACAUUUAGUUGAGACUCUCUAAAUAGACUGCCAGGGUAACCUGGAGGAAGGAGAGGAUGACGUCUGAUCAUCAUGCCCCUUAUGCCUUGGGCUACACACGUGCUACAAUGGUUAGGACAAAGAGCCACUAACCUGCGAAGGGGAGUCAAUCUCAAAAAACUAACCUUAGUUCGGAUUGAAGUCUGCAACUCGACUUCAUGAAGUAGGAAUCGCUAGUAAUCGUGAAUCAGCAAUGUCACGGUGAAUACGUUCUCGGGUCUUGUACACACCGCCCGU